GACGAACGCUGGCGGCGUGCUUAACACAUGCAAGUCGAACGGAAAGGCCCUGCUUUUGUGGGGCGCUAGAGUGGCGAAGGGGUGUGUAACACGGGAGAAACCUGCCCUUGACUUGGGGAAAACUUGGGGAAAGUGGGGAUAAUACCGGAUGGGAGCUCCUGAGGCAUGGUGGGGGUAGGAAAGUUUCGGCGGUUGGGGAUGGACUCGCGGCUUGUCAGCUUGUUGGUGGGGUAGUGGCUUACCAAGGGUUUGACGGGUAGCCGGCUUGGGAGGGUGACCGGCCACAUUGGGACUGAGUUACGCCCCAGACUCCUACGGGAGGCAGCAGUGGGGAUUUUGCCACAAUGGGCGGAAGCCUGAUGCAGCAACGCCGCGUGCGGGUUAACGGCCUUCGGUUUUUAAACCGUUUUCGCCUGUGACGAAGUGUUAGUGACGGUAAUUAGUUAAGAAGCACCGGCUAACUACGUG
rnacentral:rRNA from 1 species